rnacentral:rRNA from 1 species
AGUGAACGCUGGCGGUAGGCCUAACACAUGCAAGUCGAACGGCAGCACAGUAAGAGCUUGCUCUUACGGGUGGCGAGUGGCGGACGGGUGAGGAAUACAUCGGAAUCUACUUUUUCGUGGGGGAUAACGUAGGGAAACUUACGCUAAUACCGCAUACGACCUACGGGUGAAAGCAGGGGAUCUUCGGACCUUGCGCGAUUGAAUGAGCCGAUGUCGGAUUAGCUAGUUGGCGGGGUAAAGGCCCACCAAGGCGACGAUCCGUAGCUGGUCUGAGAGGAUGAUCAGCCACCCUGGAACUGAGACACGGUCCUGACUCCUACGGGAGGGAGCAGUGGGGAAUAUUGGACAAUGGGCGCAAGCCUGAUCCGGCCAUACCGCGUGGGUGAAGAAGGCCUUCGGGUUGUAAAGCCCUUUUGUUGGGAAAGAAAAGCAGCAGGUUAAUACCCCGCUGUUCUGACGGUACCCAAAGAAUAAGCACCGGCUAACUUCGUG